AACAGUUGGAAACGACUGCUAAUACCGCAUAAUGUCUUCGGACCAAACGGGGCUUCGGCUCCGGCGCAAAGAGAGGCCCAAGUGAGAUUAGCUAGUUGGUAAGGUAACGGCUUACCAAGGCGACGAUCUCUAGCUGUUCUGAGAGGAAGAUCAGCCACACUGGGACUGAGACACGGCCCAGACUCCUACGGGAGGCAGCAGUGGGGAAUAUUGCACAAUGGGGGAAACCCUGAUGCAGCCAUGCCGCGUGUGUGAAGAAGGCCUUCGGGUUGUAAAGCACUUUCAGUUGUGAGGAAAAGUUAGUAGUUAAUACCUGCUAGCCGUGACGUUAACAACAGAAGAAGCACCGGCUAACUCCGUGCCAGCAGCCGCGGUAAUACGGAGGGUGCGAGCGUUAAUCGGAAUUACUGGGCGUAAAGCGCACGCAGGCGGUUUGUUAAGCUAGAUGUGAAAGCCCCGGGCUCAACCUGGGAUGGUCAUUUAGAACUGGCAGACUAGAGUCUUGGAGAGGGGAGUGGAAUUCCAGGUGUAGCGGUGAAAUGCGUAGAUAUCUGGAGGAACAUCAGUGGCGAAGGCGACUCCCUGGCCAAAGACUGACGCUCAUGUGCGAAAGUGUGGGUAGCGAACAGGAUUAGAUACCCUGGUAGUCCACACCGUAAACGCUGUCUACUAGCUGUGUGUGUCUUUAAGACGUGCGUAGCGAAGCUAACGCGCUAAGUAGACCGC
rnacentral:rRNA from 1 species